AAAAAACGAUGCCUACGUGUGGUGUUAAAGUUCGGUUCUAAAACGAAGAAUGCAAUUGAUGAAAACAAGAAUGCUCAGGUUAAUGUGGAGUUAUUCCACUCUCCCCACCCCACUCCCUACCUUGAAACCCCGAGGAAGAGAGAGAGAGAAUAAGCUCUGAAGAGAAGAACAGACCAUUACAAACAGCUAGUGAUUUUUAAAAUAUCUCUUACGAAUACCAAAAAGAAACCUGGAACAUUGGAUUAACCUCAUCUACCCUUCUACUAUAUGUAUCCCACCCCUAUUUCUACAUAUUUCCUUCCUUAAGCUCUAUUUACAUGUGGGAAAGUUCAAGGGUCCCAGCUAUCAACGUUGGUAGUGGCAUGGCCCCAAACAUUGACUUCUAAGCUCCAAUUUCUUAGAGCCGGGUGAGCUAAUGGGCUUUGUGGACCGUUUGGAGAGCUCUGUGAGCCUUCCUCCUUCUGCCUGCUUUCCUCCUUUCACUCCCCUCCUCAGGCCUGUUAUUCCUACUUUUCCUCAACUCACUUUCCUCCCUCCUCCCCUCUUCCUCCCUCCUGCUGCUCGCACCCCCCCCCUCCUCCUCCAUCUAUUCCUCUCCCUCACUCCAUUCCUCCACCUACUCCUCCCCGUUUCUCCCCCCACAACCCCCCUUCGCAUCACCACUUAUAAUGGCACACAAGGGCUCCCUCUGAGGUGGACGGCCCGAUGCAUAGGGAGUCCCUGACCCCGUGACGUUUGGGAACAAGUGGAACUCGUGCAGAGGCAUCCAGGUAUUUCCAGAGACUGACGAGCGAGGUCUGCAGUCGCUUCCUAACAGCAGAUUAGCUCUAAAAGAUACAACUGGCCAAAUGGAAUACGUUUGUCCUUUCCUAUAGGGCAGAACUAUCAAUCACAAUGAAGCAAGUAUAAUCCCCUGGCCUUCUCUUCUCUACCGGUCUGUUUGAAAUCAAUGUGGAUAAUCUCAAAAUAACAGUGCCUCUCUUACUGGAUGGCAUCGAGGUGGAUUGCUUCAACAGCUCAGUCUUCUCAUCAAGGAUCCAAGUUCUUUGAGCUUCUCCACUCUGCUGCCUACAACAUCAGCUUUACACACAGGUUGAUUUUCUUUAUGAUUGUGAGGUAACUGCUAUGUGUUUUGUUCUUGUCAUGUGUGUGUGUAUGUGACACACACACACAGAGGAUUUCUCUGUGAAUACGUGAAUUAAACUGGGAUAAUUGAGGAAAGAGGAGAAAGGAAGAGAGGAUGCUGGGUGAUCAUCCGUGUCCAACACAGGAAAGCAAUGUAACAUAAUGAUAAAUAUUUUUGGAUAGCACAUUUUAAUAAAGUCUGACUCCACUAAAUUAAUAUUACUUCGAGCAAGAUUUAAAACCGUGUUGAAAAAAAUUCCCAUUUCCUAAUUCUUACUUCCUUUUUGAAAUUCAGUUAUGAUCACUUAACAUGGAGACUCUAGAUUCUGAAUUAUACAGCUGCAAACUGGAAUAUUUAUUUACUUAUUUAUUUAGUACAUAAGCAUGUGUGAAAGUGGGGAAGGGGCAGAGAGAGGGACAGAGAAUC